AUUUAAACCAAUCAAGUUGACCAUGUCAUAUACUCUUUUUUCAUUGGCCAAUGAGUAAAUGAAUUCACACGGCAAUUGUUGAUGUCAAUUUGUAUGUACCACAUUAGAGACUGUAUCGAUUUUUCGGUUCAAACAUUACCUGUGUACAUGCAGACAUUUAAAAUUUGAGGUGUUAAGAGGGUUGUAUUUUGUUUAUUCGUAUGGCAUAUACGUGGAUAGUUUCAUUUUCAUUAUUUU
rnacentral:lncRNA from 1 species